UACGGGGGGGGCAAGCGUUGUUCGGAAUUACUGGGCGUAAAGGGCUCGUAGGCGGCCAACUAAGUCAGACGUGAAAUCCCUCGGCUUAACCGGGGAACUGCGUCUGAUACAGGAUGGCUUGAGUGUGGGAGAGGGAUGCGGAAUUCCAGGUGUAGCGGUGAAAUGCGUAGAUAUCAGGAGGAACACCGGUGGCGAAGGCGGGUCUCUGGGCAGUAACUGACGCUGAGGAGCGAAAGCGUGGGGAGCGAACAGG
rnacentral:rRNA from 1 species